rnacentral:lncRNA from 1 species
CAGCUUUGCUAACUGUGGAAGCUUGUGCCUGGAGAAAAGAAUUGCUAGUGGAAGGAACUACUCAGCUAGUAAAAAAAGAAUUCUUCUGCAAUAGCUUCUAUUUUCCUGGGGAUUUUCAUCUGGAUGUCAUAGAUGGAGGCAAAUGUAAAAGUGUUCAGAAAACCCUUCAGAAUGUACCAUCAGCUCAGAAUUACAGAGCUCCAGAGCCUGAUGUUGAAAGCUGCAGAAAACAUCACAGGUUCUGGCUCAUCCCCCAUGUAACUUUGUGGAUCCA